rfam:Peptoniphilus lacrimalis 315-B contig00019, whole genome shotgun sequence.
AUAAAAGUUAUAGCGCCUGAGCCCAAGUGGCUGACGAGGAAUGAAGUUAUCGAAAUUAUCGGCGGAUGCUUCAUAGGUAUCACAACCUGAAUAUUUAAAAAGAAGUACGAGCAAUCUACUAACAAAUUAAAUAUAGUGAAUCCCU